UUGUGUUGCUGUAGCUGCCAGCCGGCUGUGCGGAGACUGUUGCACUGCGACCUCAGGGGCCAUACUGUCUAGUGAAGAGGCUGUGCUGCUAGAUUUAAACAGAGUUUCAAGCUAUUGCUGUGAUUGAUCUUCCAUUUUCUGGCCUGAAAGACAUUCAGGGAAAGAGGAAGAGAUGGCAGUUUCUUGGGGUUCAGUGACCUAUGAAGAUGUAACUGUGAUAUUCACUCAAGAGGAGUGGGCACUAUUAAAUUCUUCAGAGAAGAAACUCUACAGAGAUGUGAUGUGUGAAAAUUUGAGGAACUUUCUUUCAAUAG